AUGCUCCCUUUGACGGCAUAUAUACUAAAAUUGGAAUGACACAGAGAGACUGGUGUGGCCCCUGAACAAGGAUGGCAUGCAAAUUCGUGCAGCUGUCCAUAUUUCU
rnacentral:snRNA from 1 species